UCUCCUUGGUGCCCCGAUCUCCUAGUUAAUUACAAUUAAACGAUUAAUCAGUUUAAUCGCGUGAUAAUAAUUACAGGGAGCUAAUUGAUAAACAUAUCUUCCGUUUAAUGGUACCCCCAAAGACACGACACCAACUUGGAGAAAUCAGUGCACAUCUUUGUGUCAGCAAAUUCAACAUUUCGAUUAUCCUCCAUAAAUUGUAUGAUCUCAUUUCUCUUUUUAGUAAGUGCACCCAACUUAGCACUUCUAGAUCCUUAGAACUUUUGCAAAGUUUCCAUUGGCCCCAUUGUAAAGGCAAGUAAGAGCACAGAACAUCAAAUCCCAUUGAUUUGCAACCAUCAGCACAGUAUGAACACAUUUUAGCAUGGUGUAGCUUAAUGAAUGCGCCAAAAUCGAUGUCAUCACAACUCAGACACAGUAGUUAAUCAGCAAAGUGUCUGCUUUUCGCCGCUCCACAAUGAUUUCUCGACUCGGCGCGCAAAUCCAACAACAAAAGACACGCACGAUUCCAAGCUUACAAGUUCCACGAAUUCAUCCAACAUAUAGAGCAGAGCCAAAACGGAAGAACAACCACAAUUCUCUCCCCUUUAUUCACAGUGAAUAACUCAAAUCAAACAGUCACAGAGCUUCAAUAGCAUCAGUUACUUCUGUCACUGGGAACAUCCAUUUACAGUUGAGGAGUUACACUAGUUUUACCUUGGUCAGAUGAAAUGUUCGACUCUUUACCUCCGGUCGUCAGCGUUCCAUUCAGCGACGUUGUUUUCAAAUUUAAAGGCAAUUCGUAAUCCAGUCGUGAUGUCGCCGUCAGACGCGCUUCCAAAGUAACCACAAAACAGGGAAUCCAACGCUCCUAUUCUGCUCUACAAGCAAAAAGGCAGCAACUGCUAAUUUGGUCGAAUUAGUUAACGUAAUUUUUGAAUCAUUAAAUACAUGCUUAAUCAUGUGGACAAGUAUCCUGCCUCCAUUGUGUUUAGGAGAACAUUGGGGUCAUGUUAGCAGUAACUGCAUAAAGUUACUGUGAAACCAAGGUAAAUAAAAGCAAUUUUUGUCAGUUCCACACCAUGAGCAGUUACUGCCUUUUGCUUGGUAGGGCAGUAUAGUGUAACAACAAACAAAUGUAUUUGCCAGACAAAGGCUCCACGUUUCCAAAACAGGUAAUUUCAUAGGAUACAGAGUCCAUGAUAAAAACAAAAAGUAUCAGAUUUAAACAUAAAACAAAAGGGUAUAUAGUAGCAGCUUUCUUAGUUCAUGUAAUAGUGAUUAAAAAAAACUAAGGUAACUCCAUACCUGAGUCCUAGCUGACCCAUAAUGUAUGGUAACUCCAUACCUGAGUCCUAGCUGACCCAUAAUGUAUGGUAACUCCAUACCUGAGUCCUAGCUGACCCAUAAUGUAUGGUAACUCCAUACCUGAGUCCUAGCUGACCCAUAAUGUAUGGUAACUCCAUACCUGAGACCUAGCUGACCCAUAAUGCAAACGGUCUCAAUUUGAAUAUGAACGAGUGUCCUUUACUCACUUACUGUUUCCAAAACGAACCCCUCAUUUGAAAAGGUUCUUCAAAGUACCCCUUAAGUCUACAAAGGUUAAAAAACAAACAGAUAUAUGUAUGUAUGUUCUUAAAUGAACCUAAAGGUAUUUUUUUUUUAACCUUACAUUAUCCUAAAAGAUCCUACAGGAACCUUUUAUUUUUAGAGUGUAGACUAGAGAGAGGUAGCUAACACAACACAUGUUGAUUCCCCCUUGGACACCACUGAUGUGUCUAAUUGACUAUAUGCAUCUGUUUAUCUGUAGAAAUACUGGCUUCUCAGCUGGAUUUUGUGAACACAAACUGGAGUCCAGAUGUUGAAGCCAUCAGAAGACAUGCAGUGAAUGUGACUCUAGACCCUGAUACUGCACAUUGUAAACUCAUCCUGUCUCCGGACGGGAAACAAGUGAGACAUGGAGAAGUAAAUCAGGUUCUCUCUGACAACGGGAAGAGGUUUACAAAUUGGUCCUGUGUCCUCGGAAAUGUGGGCUUCUCAGGGAAGUUGUACUAUGAGGUGAAGGUGGAGGGGAAGACUGAGUGGACUUUGGGUGUGGUCAGAAAGUCCAUCAAUAUGAAUGAAAGUUUAAGACCGAUCCCUAAUAAAGGAUACUGGACUGUGGAGCUGAAGGAUGGAAAGUACACAGCUCAUGCUGAUUCCCCUGUCACCCUCUUACUGAGAGAGAAGCCCCAGAAGGUGGGGGUGUUUGUGGAUUAUGAGAAGUGUCAGGUCUCCUUCUACAAUGUGGAGGACAGGUGUCAUAUCUACUCUUUCACUGGCUGCACCUUCACUAAGAAACUCUAUCCAUUCUUCAACCCUGGUGGUUCAGAUAGUAUUUCACUGGUCAUCUGUCCUGUAGAUGCCACUGACUGACUGUUUUAAAUCCAACAAGGUGCAAUUGUUAUUUGUGAAAUGCUUGUUAUUCUGCUAAUGUGCAGUAAAUAUACUAUAUAUAUAUUUUUUUUAAGUAGAAAAACAAACCAAAACAGUUUGACAAGAAUAAUGCAAUAUUUGUUACAUGAGUUGACUUAGUUAAUAGAUAACGCAUUUUUUUUUUUUAAUUAGAGGGGCGUUGUUUUUCUAGCUUUCUCCAUUGAGGGCAUUGUGUGGAACAUUCGGUCUUACUGGUCAUCUGUCCUGUAGAUGUCACUGACUGACUGUUUUAAAUCAAACAAGGCAGAUACAGUAUAAACAGCAGUAACUCCUAUUGAGAGACUUAAUGUACAUGAGUUCUAAGUUAUAGAUUUCCUGUCAGUCUUUGUUGUUGUUGUAGAGUGGGACAGUAUAUUGUUUAUUGGGUAGGACAGAAAGGUAAAGGUAGGAAUGUUGAAAGAGCAAUGGGUUGGAUCUGAACCCAUUCUGGUACUGGACCAUCCCAGACCACUGAUUAUUUGACUAAUCUUUGAUGUGUCUUUCACCAAUCCCUUGGACUGUUCUGUCUUCAGGAGAGUGUGCUAUAUAUUUUUAUUCUCUGUGUUUUCUAAAAGUAGUGCUUUCUGUGGUGGUGGGGCAAGCCAGCAGAAAAUACGGAGCCUAGCACCGUGAUUGGCUCAGUGUUCUGUCUCUCAUGGGGACACUUCGUCACGGCUGCCAUAGAGUUACAUUAGAAGUGCCCAUCCAAGAAGGCUCAAGGUCAUUGGCCACAGAUAAAAUGACGUCAAAUCACGUUACAUGUAGAGUAGCUUUGAUUGGACUGAUCUUGUCAACAUCAUACUUUCAAUAUUUUAGCUAGCAGUCAAUCAUGAAUCAAGUCGACAAUCUACUGGCAAAUCCUUUUAAAUCCUUGUCAUAUGAAGAUAAAUAAUGGAGUGAAGUUAUAGAUAAAACGUGUCGGUGCUUAUCGGCCAUUGGACAUAAACAUUACACAACAAGUUAGAAAUCGCAAAUUCAACAAUGAGUGGUUUGGAAGGAAGUGCUCACAGCACAACAAGGUGAGUCCAAAAAUGUAUUGUUUGCUGCUCCAUAAAUGAUGUAAUAUGCCAGGGAGAUAUGUAUACUGUAGCUAAGAAAGUAAUACUAAAUGUAUGUUGUGUUGUAAGCUGUUAGUAGCCCAUGUGCCUCAUGCUAAUAAUUUGGUCCCUUUUCCCCUCCUGUACUGACUUGGUGGUGGACAUGUAGCCUAUUUUAGAGAAAUGUAAUCAUUGAAUAUUGUAAGAGUUUUCAUUUUCCGCUUAUAUGCCCCCGUUAUUUAUCCUACGGUUCUUACUUGGUGUACAGGGAGAAUACUGUAAGAACAGCCCAUGUUCUGAAUUCUGUUGCUGUAUAUUUCAAAAGUGCUGAACAAGUAGUUAUAUUGAGAAUGUCCGUCCUAGCUCGCUCAUUUGUCUUAAUCGAAAUUACUGAUUGUCUCUUAUCCGCUCGUCGUUCCCUUAUGCCAUAGUUUGUACAUCUCAAUUGUCAGUAGAAACCACAUUUUGUUUAAACAAGUCAGCCAUAUCAGCUAUAUUUUUUAAGGCCGUAAAUGAGGCUAAAUUAACUGUUUCAAUGCCAGACAUGGCUCCGCUGAUAGCCAGGUGUAGCAGUGGUAAGGUGUUGGGACUGCUGUUGGAACUCUGCUGUUGGGACAGCUUUAUGUUUGCCCUAACAGUGUGUCGGCACUGUUUGUAAUCGUUAAAGUGCAAUUAAUGUAUUGUGUUGUGUAGUGGGUUUGCUGGCAUGCACAAGAUUUACAUGCUAAAAUUGCAACUGGUUGUGUAUCCAUUCUGCUUUGUGCUCCUACAUGUAGGUAACAAUAUAGCAGCAGCACAAAAUACAUGUGUUUUACAUAUUGGUCAUUUGAUAAUUUAAUGUUCUGAAAGAGUGUUUAAAAAUAGUUUCAGCUCCAUCAUUGUCAUCAGACAGCCUACUGGGUCAGACAGCCUACUGGGUCAGACAGACUAUUGGAUCACACUGUUUCAGACAGGAUACUAUCAGACUACUGUAUCAGACAGACUACUGUACUGAUUUUGAAACCAUCAGAAGACAUGCAGGUGUGUUUUAUACUAUGUGACUAGCUGUCUUUUAGGGAGGAAUAAAGUACUAAAGUUGU